rnacentral:rRNA from 1 species
GUAGGGUGCAAGCGUUAUCCGGAUUUACUGGGCGUAAAGCGUUCCUUAGGCGGUUUGAUGCGUCCGAUUUUAAAGCUCCCGGCUCAACCGGGAAAAAGGGUCGGAUACGAUCAAACUUGAGUCCGUUAGGGGAAGCUGGAAUUGACGGUGGAGGGGUGAAAUCCGUUGAGAUCGUCAAGAACACCGAGGGCGAAGGCAAGCUUCUAGGACGAGACUGACGCUGAGGGACGAAAGCUAGGGUAGCAAACUGGAUUAGAGACCCAGGUAGUCCUAGCUGUAAACGAUGGAUACUAGCUGGCCGAGUCUGACUCGGCUGGCGUAAGCUAACGCGUUAAGUAUCCCGCCUGGGGAGUACGACCGCAAGGUUA